GACAGAGGGUGCAAACGUUGUUCGGAAUUACGGGGCGUAAAGCGCGUGUAGGCUGUCUCGCAAGUCGGGUGUGAAAGCCCUGGGCUCAACCUAGGAAGUGCACUCGAAACUGCGAGACUUGAGUCCUGGAGAGGAAGGCGGAAUUCUCGGUGUAGAGGUGAAAUUCGUAGAUAUCGAGAGGAACACCGGUGGCGAAGGCGGCGACCUGGGUAGAUACUGACGCUGAGGUGCGAAAGCGUGGGGAGCAAACAGG
rnacentral:rRNA from 1 species